rnacentral:rRNA from 1 species
GUGAGGAAUAUUGCGCAAUGGAGGCAACUCUGACGCAGCCAUGCCGCGUGCAGGAAGAAGGCGCUACGCGUUGUAAACUGCUUUUAACCGGGAAGAAACCCCAGGACGUGUCCUGGGUUGACGGUACCGGAGGAAUAAGCACCGGCUAACUUCGUGCCAGCAGCCGCGGUAAUACGAAGGGUGCAAGCGUUAUCUGGAGUCAUUGGGUUUAAAGGGUGCGUAGGCGGAGCGUUAAGUCAGUGGUGCAAUCCUGCAGCUUAACUGUAGACUUGCCAUUGAUACUGGCGCUCUUGAGUGCGCUUGAAGUGGGCGGAAUGUGUCGUGUAGCGGUGAAAUGCUUAGAUAUGGCACAGAACACCAAUUGCGAAGGCAGCUCACUAAGGCGAUACUGACGCUGAGGCACGAAAGCGUGGGGAUCGAACAGGAUUAGAAACCCUAGUAGUCC